UACUGGUCCUGAUUAUGUCAUGGGGCCUUAGGGUGGUCAUGGAAGAAACAGAUUACGUUACUCAAGCCAGCAGCAGCAGCACAUGCUCACCCCGCUAUCCAGCCAACAUUCCUCAACUCUGACCUGAGGACCACCUCUGGAGAUAAGAGUCCCUUCUUAUCAAUGCUGGUUGGAAUGUACCUUGAAAGUCACAUGAGAGCUUCAGGUUCAAAUGUAGUAAAGAAGAGAGAGUUUUCAUGGUGAAGAACUUGAUGUUGACUUUACAAAUGUACUGAUGGAGAACGUGGUAAAACCUGAGAAUAAUGAGGGCCAAAGGAAAAUCUUCUACCUCCUUCAGCUGUGACUUCUA